UGGAAUGUAGCUUAGCGAGAAAGCACACAAUUCUGAUUGUGGGACGUGGGUUCAAACCCCACCAUUCCAA
rnacentral:tRNA from 1 species